UGCAUCGGUCGGGAAUCGAACCCGGGCCGCCCGCGUAGCAUGCGAGCAUUCUACCACUGAAUCACCGAUGG
rnacentral:tRNA from 1 species